UAUUCUCAGGUGACUGAUUUAUCUAAGUAGAACCUAAAUGAAGACAGAAAAGGAAAACUUCCCUCAGAUACUUGGAUAUGGCCAUCCAUUUGAAUGUUUGCCUUUGGGAAUCAAAGCAAGCAGUCAGUCGGACUUUUCUUCCCAACUACUUGUUCUUCUCUAGAAACACAGCCUAAGGCCUUUGAUAGAGGAGGAAGCCUGUGUGUGAACAAGUGCUGGUGACACAGAAAGUGCAAUAGCAGAAGUGCCUGGGGACUGCUCUGUGCCAGCUUGCUCCUGGUGAGUGGCAGUCUGGACUCCCAGCUACAGGUGAUUCCCCCUCGAUGUUCAAGCAGGGCUCUGCAUGAGUCAUCCAGAUAUAGCUAUGACAAUGUGGAUUUCGUGGCGAUCACAGGCGAACCCAUGGGAGAAAGUCUCCUUCCUCUUCUUCUGGCCCACACCCCUCUUCCCAGGACAGCUCCCUGUCACUCAGGAGGAGCCGGCUGCAUCCCUGGUCUUGGGACCCUCUGCAGAACCUCCCGCCUGAGCACUCCUGAGCGAAGAGCCAAGCCAGGGACUGCCUGGAGCAACAUCUGUUCUUAUCCUCUAGUGGUUAGAAGAGGAGCUAAAACAUGGGCUUGACCUUGCACUCAUCUUGUAGGCUCGUCCAGGCUGGGCCCUGUCACCCAGCCUACUCAGAGCUACUCACGGAAUGAAAAAUGCUGCUAAUAUCAGUCUGCUAAAAACAUCAUCAGGAAAUUAAAUCUGUGGCUUUAAAAAAAAUCCCACACUGAUUUUUCUGGCACUGGUGUGUCUCCCAACUGGGAUCUCUCCUUCUGCCUGGGGGCCUCCUUCCGGCCUCCUCCCUCCUCUCUGGGCUCUCCCCUCUGCAGCCUCCCUGCCUCUCCUCCCUCCUUUCCUUCUUACCCUGCAGGGUCUGCUGGCUUUCUUCUCCCUGGGCUCCUCCCUGUGGCUUUAGGCUUCCCUUCCUGUCUCCGGGCUUCCAGCUUUUCCACAGCUCCACGGAAGCAUCUGUCUGUCUCUAUUUCAC